rnacentral:rRNA from 1 species
UACAGAGGGUGCGAGCGUUGUCCGGAAUCACUGGGCGUAAAGGGCGCGUAGGUGGCGACCCAAGUCGAUGGUGAAAGCUCGCCGCUCAACGGCGAGUCGGCCACCGAUACUGGGUUGCUGGAGCACUGUAGAGGCAGAUGGAAUUCCGGGUGCAGCGGUGGAAUGCGUAGAGAUCCGGAAGAACACCGGUGGCGAAGGCGGUCUGCUGGGCAGUUGCUGACACUGAGGCGCGACAGCGUGGGGAGCAAACAGG